UGGGGAAUUUUGGACAAUGGGCGAAAGCCUGAUCCAGCAAUGCCGCGUGUGUGAAGAAGGCCUUCGGGUUGUAAAGCACUUUUGUCCGGAAAGAAAUCCUUGGCUCUAAUACAGUCGGGGGAUGACGGUACCGGAAGAAUAAGCACCGGCUAACUACGUGCCAGCAGCCGCGGUAAUACGUAGGGUGCAAGCGUUAAUCGGAAUUACUGGGCGUAAAGCGUGCGCAGGCGGUUUGCUAAGACCGAUGUGAAAUCCCCGGGCUCAACCUGGGAACUGCAUUGGUGACUGGCAGGCUAGAGUAUGGCAGAGGGGGGUAGAAUUCCACGUGUAGCAGUGAAAUGCGUAGAGAUGUGGAGGAAUACCGAUGGCGAAGGCAGCCCCCUGGGCCAAUACUGACGCUCAUGCACGAAAGCGUGGGGGAGCAAACAGGAUUAGAUACCCUGGUAGUCCACGCCCUAAAACGAUGUCAACUAGUUGUUGGGGGAUUCAUUUCCUUAGUAACGUAGCUAACGCGUGAAGUUGACCGCCUGGGGAGUACGGUCGCAAGAUUAAAACUCAAAGGAAUUGACGGGGUCAUAGCUGUUUCCU
rnacentral:rRNA from 1 species